rnacentral:rRNA from 1 species
CAAUAGCGUAUAUUUAAGUUGUUGCAGUUAAAAAGCUCGUAGUUGGAUUUCGGUUAAGAGCGACCGGUCCGCCGUUUGGUGUGCACUGGUUGGUUUUAACUUCCUGUAGAGGACGUGCUCUGGGUUUAACGACCUGGACUCGGAGUCUACGUGGUUACUUUGAAAAAAUUAGAGUGUUCAAAGCGGGCUUACGCUUGAAUAUUUCAGCAUGGAAUAACACUAUAAGACUCCUGUCCUAUUUCGUUGGUCUCGGGACGGGAGUAAUGAUUAAGAGGAACAGUUGGGGGCAUUCGUAUUUCAUUGUCAGAGGUGAAAUUCUUGGAUUUAUGAAAGACGAACUUCUGCGAAAGCAUUUGCCAAGGAUGUUUUCAUUAA